rnacentral:lncRNA from 1 species
UUUUAAAAAAGUUGUUAAAAAAAGUUGUUAAAAUAUCAUUGUUCCACCGAUAACCAAUAACCUCUUUGGUUUUGCCUUUUAAGGGGAACAAACAACCCCUCUCCUCUUUCUAAGAUUCCCCAUCAUAACAUCUUUACAUAAUAACAAAAAUCCAUAACCACACUCAUAAUCAAUACAGUCAAAUAAAAAACCAUUGUGUUUCUGUCUCACUUCCUCAAACAUGAUGGGUGGUUAGGGUCUCAAACUUCCUAUGCCUCCUCCAAUUCCAAUCCUUACUUUUCUUUCCUUUUUCACAACCCCAUAUCCCAUGCUUCCACUCCUUGUAGGUCCUUCAAAUCACACCACCCACGCGCUUUAACAUUCUGUUUUUUUCCACUUUUCAUUAUAAAUAUUCUUAAAUCAACACUUCC